rnacentral:rRNA from 1 species
UACGUAGGGUGCAAGCGUUGUCCGGAAUUAUUGGGCGUAAAGAGCUCGUAGGCGGCUUGUCACGUCGACUGUGAAAACCCGGGGCUCAACUCCGGGCCUGCAGUCGAUACGGGCAGACUAGAGUUCGGUAGGGGAGUCUGGAAUUCCUGGUGUAGCGGUGAAAUGCGCAGAUAUCAGGAGGAACACCGGUGGCGAAGGCGGGUCUCUGGGCCGAUACUGACGCUGAGGAGCGAAAGCGUGGGGAGCGAACAGG